rnacentral:rRNA from 1 species
UACGUAGGUGGCAAGCGUUGUCCGGAUUUACUGGGCGUAAAGAGCGCGCAGGCGGUCGUUCAAGUCGCGUGUGAAAGCCCCCGGCUCAACUGGGGAGGGUCACGCGAUACUGAUCGACUCGAAGGCAGGAGAGGGAAGUGGAAUUCCCGGUGUAGCGGUGAAAUGCGCAGAUAUCGGGAGGAACACCGGUGGCGAAGGCGGUUCUCUGGGCCUGUACUGACGCUGAGGAGCGAAAGCGUGGGGAGCGAACAGG